GACAAACGCUGGCGGCAUGCCUAACACAUGCAAGUCGAACGGACAGAACAGGGAAGCUUUUCGGAGUGGAACUGGAAAGUUAGUGGCGGAUGGGUGAGUAACGCGUGGACAACCUACCUUGUAAAGGGGAAUAACCUCGAGAAAUCGAAGCUAAUACCCCAUAAUAACCUUGCUUCGCAUGAAGUAAGGAGGAAAGGCGGCCUUAGCGCUGUCGAUACAAGAUGGGUCCGCGUCUGAUUAGCUAGUUGGUGAGGUAAAGGCUCACCAAGGCGACGAUCAGUAGCCGGCCUGAGAGGGUGAACGGCCACAUUGGGACUGAGACACGGCCCAAACUCCUACGGGAGGCAGCAGUGGGGAAACUUCCGCAAUGGGCGAAAGCCUGACGGAGCAAUGCCGCGUGAGUGAAGAAGGCCUUCGGGUUGUAAAACUCUGUCCUUAUCGAAGAGAGAGUGUUGUAGUAACUGACAAUACUAGGACGGUAGAUGAGGAGGAAGCCCCGGCUAACUAUGUG
rnacentral:rRNA from 1 species